rnacentral:tRNA from 1 species
GGGCGCGUAGCUCAGUGGGAGAGCACUACAUUGACAUUGUAGGGGUCGGCAGUUCAAUCCUGCCCGUGCCCACCA